CACGACUCACUUGUCCUGGUGACACCUCCCCGGGCUCACCCUCCGGCAGAUACAGCUCCGGUGACCACAGCAGUCAUGAAGGAACUGCUGGCGGGACUUCAGCUCACCAUCCAAGCAGACAUGGCCCAAAUACGCGGAGACCUGCAAGGCCUGACAGGCUGUCUGAGCACACUGGAAACCAAUUCCCGCCGAAACACACAAAACACGACGCAACUGCAUAAAGCAGUUCAUGACCUGCAACAGCAGACCCACACGAUGGAUCUAAAGUUUGAAGAAUUGGAGAACCAGAGGUGUAGCCUGAAUCUCAAAAUCAGGGGCAUCAGCGAGGAGAUACCAGAGGCGGAGAUACUGCACUUUAUCCGGUGACUGAUGUCUGCCCUCCUGCCCCC